AGGGCCCUAACAUAAUCUACUUCCUCCUGAAAUUUCAACAGAAAAUAAUCAUUUUCUAAAUCCAUAAUACUGACGGGGGUGGAAGGUUUCUAGAGACGAUAAAUUCUAUUAGACAAAGUCUGAAUUCCAAUUUUCCGACCCAAUAACUUGACAACAAUCGUUCUAGCCAUACUUUUGUGUAAAACUUGGUGAACCCGCUCAGAGAACCUUAUCGAAAGUAAACCAUCUUCUGUUCCAAUGGAAACAUCACUCUCCAGUGACUACAAGUCGUUCUUCUCACUUCCUUGCACAACCUUUCCCAAUGAUUUCAAAGAACCAACUAAUAUAUCUUUGAAAGACAGUCUCUCAUGAGGCUUUUCCUCAAGUCCUUUGGGAGUUUCC
rnacentral:lncRNA from 1 species